AUGAACCGGCGAGUUACGAUAACAUGCAAGGUUAAGGUGGAAAGACCGGAGCCGCAGCGAAAGCGAGUGUGAAUAGCGCGAAUAGUACGAUGCUGUAGACCCGAAACCAGGUGACCUACCCAUGGUCAGGAUGAAGGUGAGGUAAAACUUACUGGAGGUCCGAACCGGUGCAUGUUAAAAAAUGCUCGGAUGAACUGUGGGUAGCGGUGAAAUUCCAAACGAACUUGGAGAUAGCUGGUUCUCUCCGAAAUAGCUUUAGGGCUAGCCUCAUUAUUAGCAUACUGGAGGUAGAGCACUGUUAAGCCUAGGGGCCCACCUCGGGUUACCAAAGUUUGAUAAACUCCGAAUGCCAGAUAUGUAUGAAUGGGAGUCAGACGAUGAGUGAUAAGAUCCACCGUCGAAAGGGGAACAGCCCAGAUCGCCAGUUAAGGUCCCUAAAUAUAUGUUAAGUGGAAAACGAUGUGAUAGUGC
rnacentral:rRNA from 11 species